rnacentral:miRNA from 1 species
AUGCGGAUGGCGUACACGUCCACA